GUUUGUGCUUGGGGUUUGCUGUUGUUCUGAUGAAAAUCGGAUGAUGAUGGCGACUGUGUCAGUGUGUCGAUGCGUUUUGAAGGUCCGAUAAAAUUACAUGAAUUUUGCUCAACGAAAAACAAAAAGAACAAAAAAAAGGAAUGUCAUAUCCUUGAAUGACAUAGAUUUUCAUAUUAAUCGAAUUUCAUGCAAGUAAUUUGUCAUCAUCUGUCAAUUUUCCCAUGGUGGAUAGAUGCAAUCAGUCCAUUGAUACUUGGUCCAGCGUAACGUUAUCAAGUCCGUUAUGAAUGCGAUGACAGUGGAGGUGGUGGUGGUGGUAGUGUUCAAUGGUGGGACAUGUGAAUUGGAUGAAAUGAGCAGGAUAAAGGACGGUUAUGGUUAAUGGUUUAUGUGGGAAUGUCAUUGUUGUAUUAAAUUACAAAUUAUACAUAUUGAAAGUAGGCAGCAAGGAUAGUGAGAUGGUGAUGUGGAUGUGUAUGGCGGUGAAAAUGAUUAUAAAUAUAUAAAAAUGUAUAUACACAUGUA